rnacentral:tRNA from 1 species
UAUUGUUAUUUUGGCAGAUUAGUGCAUUAAAUUUAGAAUUUAAUUAUGUAAUUUUUUUUUUACAAAUAAUAC